AUGUUGGAGGAAAAGGGAAGAAGUGAUGAGGAAGAAAUCAGGAACAUAAGUGAAGAACUCAGUAUUAUCAAGGAUUCAGACUCAGAUUGUAAAAAAGCAGUUGAUGAUCUUUUUGUUUGUCAGGUAUAUAUAAAUUAUCAGCAAAAACGUAUUAAAGCAUCAUAUGUUGAGAGAAUUUUUAAACUACAGUGAAUCCCAGAUAUAUAGAUACAUAGCAAGAGUUUUUUAAAUGUCGUAUUCUUAACCUAUUGAAGAUCAAAUGCCGCGUAAAACGAGUUUAAUAUUUCCCUGAAAUAAAAAAAAGUAUUUUCUGCAGAUUUAUCAAUAGCUAUUAUGACUCUCAACAAGGAUAUUUGGAUACAAAGUUUUUUAUGUUAACGGAUGGCAAGUAAUUCAUUGAAAUAUUACUAUGUAUGAUAAUUGUACUUCAGUUCAGUUUAGACUAUGUUACAUGGGUUACCCGACUGAACUGGGGUAUUUUAUAAGGGGGGGGCGGGGUGCUUACCACAGGAAAUUUUUUAAAGAAUUAAAUGCUAAAAUAUAAUUUUCUUAGACAUCAUCAUGUCCUUUGUACCAUUUCCCCUAGUUCAGACUUCAAAAUGUUCUCCUUUUAUUCAAUGACCUGAAACUAUUUAGAUUUGACUAUUAGCAGCAAUAAACUUUAUCUUAUCUUAUCUUAUGUUCAGGGUAGGG